UACGUAGGGGGCAAGCGUUGUCCGGAUUUACUGGGCGUAAAGAGCGCGUAGGCGGAAAUUUAAGCGUGGCCUGAAAGCCCCCGGCUCAACCGGGGAGUGCGGCUGCGAACUGGGUUUCUUGAGGACGAUAGAGGAGAGUGGAAUUCCUGGUGUAGCGGUGAAAUGCGUAGAUAUCAGGAGGAACACCCGAGGCGAAGGCGGCUCUCUGGACUCAUACUGACACUGAGGCACGAAAGCGUGGGUAGCAAACAGG
rnacentral:rRNA from 1 species